GAGGAAAUAGACAAAAGAAUUCUCAGUCAAAGUCAGGUCAAAGCAGGGUAGUGUAAAACAAGCAGAUAUACUAAAACGUGCAGCGAAGGAAGAAGUGAGCUGACUUGAUAGAGGUCAAGGUGAUAAGAGGCAUAGCCAGAGAUUUUCUCCCAGGGCAAGAGGGCUAAUAAAAGGGGGCAUAAUUUUAAGGUUUAUUUGUAUAGCUCUUUUCAAACACAAGGCAGUUCAAAGUGCUUUACAUAAAACAAAAUCAAACAUCAAAUUUCAGACAAUAUAAAGAGAAUAAAACCACACAUAAAAACUAAGAAAUAAAAGUUACAGUGCAGGAGAUUCUAAUUGAAAGCUACAGUGAAAAGAAAAGUUUUAAACCUCAAUUUAAAAGAGCUUGAAGUUAGGGCAGGCUUCAGGUCCUCUGGAAGGUUAUUUCAGAUAUGUGGACCACAGUUACUAAAAGCUGCUAGGGUCCUUCUCCCGUGGGAGUUGAGGGGUGGGUGGCGGGGUGUAUACCCCGAAACCACUGUAUGUAAAUAUGGAAUAAUAGAAUGCCACCUGGGUGGCAAAAGUGUGGGAAUGUAAAGACUGUAAUGGAAACAUUUGUAAAGGACUGAGAGUCAUGGAAUGGUUUAUUGUACCUAAUUUUAUUUUUGAAUAAAGUAUAUUUUGAUUAAAAAAAAACCAUGUUUAGAUUUGGCCCUGGGGAUGGUAAGCAGACCUGCCCCAGCUGACCUGAGAGUUCAGGGAAGUUUCAUAUUGCAGCAAGAGAUUAGGGAUGUAUUUUGGCCCUAGACUAUUCAGUGCUUUAUAAACCAGUAAUAAUAUUUCAGUCAGUCCUCUGAUGGACAGGAAGCCAGAGUAGCAAUCUGGAGUGACACAUUCCGCUUUCAGUGAGGACUCCAGCAGCAGUGUUCCGAAUGAGCUCUGGACACCUGAGGGUUACUUUUACAGAGGUGCCAUUCAGUAGCCGAGCCUACUAAAAAUGGAUGAGGUUUUCUAGAUCUUUCUGAGACACAAACCCUUUAACUCUCACGAUAUUUUUAAGAUGGUAGUAGGCUGACUUUGCAAUUGUCUUAGCAUGGAGUUAAGAUUUAAAUUGGAGCUCAUCACAACACCAAGGCGUCUGGCUUGCUUUGCGGUCUGUAAUGACAGGGAUUCUAAGUGAGCACUGACUUUUAAUCAUUGUUUUUUGGCUCCAAAACCAAUUAUCUCAGUUUUCUCUUCGCUUAACUGGAGGAAAUUUUGGUUUACCCAAUCAGUGAUUUGUUCAAUACAGUUUUUUAGUGAUUGUAUGGGGGCAUAGUCACUUGAUGACAUGGUUAUAUAAAUCUGAAUGUCAUCAGCAUAAUUACGGUAAGAUAUUUUGUUGCUGACCAUGAUUUGAGCUACAGAGGGCAUGUAUAUAUUAAACAGAAGAGGCCCUAAUAUGGACCCUUGAGGCAAUCCACAUGUUGUUAUUGUUUGGUCAGAUAUGCAUAAGACCAUAAGACAUAGGAACAGAAUUAGGCCAUCUGGCCCAUCCAGUCUACUCCACCAUUCAGUCAUGGCAGGUCCUUUACUUUUUCCUCCUCAACUCCAGUUCCCAGCCUUCUCCCCAUAACCUAUGAUGCCACGUCCAAUCAAGAACCUAUCAAUCUCUGCCUUAAAUAAACCCAACGAACUGGCCUCCACAGCUGCAUGUGGCAACAAAUUCACAAAUUCUCUACCCUUUGACUAAAGGAAUUUUUUCUCAGAAUCUCUGUUUUGAAAGGGUGUCAUCUAUCCUGAGGCUGUGCCUUCUUGUCCUAGACUUUUCCACCAUGGGAAACAUCCUUUCCACAUCUACUCUGUCUAGGCCUUUCAACAUUUGAAAGGUUUCAACGAGAUCCUCCCUCAUCCUUCUGAAUUCCAGCGAGUACAGAUCCAGAGCCAUCAAACAUUCCUCGUAUGAUAACCCUUUCAUUCGUGAAAUCAUCCUUGUGAGCCUCCUCUGGACCCUCUCCAAUGCCAGCACAUCUUUUCUAAGAUGAGGGGCCCAAAACUGUUCACAAUACUCAAGGUGAGGCCUCUCCAGUGCCUUAUAAAGCCUCAGCAUCACAUUCUUGCUUUUGUAUUCUAGACCUCUUGAAAUGAAUGCUAAUGUGGCAUUUGCUUUCUGCACCAUCAACUCAAUGUGCAAGUUAACCUUCAGGGUGUUCUGCACGAGGACUCCCAAGACACACUGCAUCUCAGAUUCCUGGAUUUUCUCCCCAUUUAGAAAGUAGUCCUCACAUUUAUUUCUACUACCAAAGUGCAUGACCAUGCAUUUUCCAACAUGGUAUUUCAUUUACCACUUUCUUGCCCAUUCUUGUAAUCUGUCUAAGUCUACAUCCUACCUAUUUCCUCAACACUACCUGCCCCUCCACCAAUCUUCAUGUUGUCUGCAAACUUGGCAACAAAGCCAUCAAUUCCAUCAUCUAAAUCAUUUAUGUAUGUGUGGCACGUGGCCAAGUGGUUAAGGUGCUGGACUAACGAUAUGAAGGUCGUGAGUUCGAGCCCCUGCCAGGGUAGUGUGUGUGUCCUUGAUCAAGGCACUUAACCACACAUUGCUCCAGUCCACCCAACUAAAAAUGGGUACCAGCAAAAAUGCUGGGGGGUUAACCUCGCGAUAGACUGGCGUCCUAUCCGGGGGAGAGUCUCGUACUCUCAGUCACUUCACGCCAUGGAAACCGGAAAUAAGCACUGGCCUGCUGAGCCUAUAUGGCUCGGGACAGACUUUAACAAAAAGAAGUGGUCCCAACACCAACCCCUGUGGAACACCACUAGUCACUGGCAGCCAACCAGAAAGGGAUCCUUUAUUCCCACUCGCUGUGUUCUACCAAUCAGCCAAUGCUCUAACCAUGCCAGUAAAUGUCCUGUAACACCAUGGCUUCUUAACUUGGUAAGCAGCCUUAUGAGUGGCACCUUGUCAAACACCUUCUAAAAGUCCAAAUAUACAACAUCCACUGCAUCCCCUUUAAUCUCCUAAUCUCCUCAAAAAAUUCCAACAGGAUCCUCAUACAGGAAUUUCCCUGAAGGAAACCAUGCUGACUUUGUACUAUCUUGUCCUGUGUCACCAAGUACUCCUAUCACCUCAUUAUUAACAAUUAACUCUAACAUCUUCCCAACCGCUGAGGCAAGGCUAACUGGUCUGUAAUGGCCUUCCUCCUUGUUUAAAGAGUGGAGUGACAUUUGUAAUUUUCCAGUCCUCUGGCACGCCUGAGUCCAAUGAUUUUUGAAAGUUCAUUUCUAAUGCCACCACUAUUUCUAAUGCUACCUCUUUCAGAACCCUGGGGUUCAGCUUAUCUGGUUUGGGUGACUUAUGUACCUUUGGGUCUUUCAGCUUUUUGAGUACAUUCUCUCUUGUAACAGUAACUGAACCUACUUCUCUUCCUUUACACACUACAACAUCAGGCACACUGCUAGUGUCUUCCACAGUGAAGACUAAACCAAAAUACUCAUUUGGUUCAUCAGCCAUCUCCUUGUUCCCUGUUAUUAUUUCUCAUGCAUCAUUUUCUAGUGGUCCUACAUCCACCCUCAUUUCUUUUAUUUUUAACAUACUUGAAACUUUUAUAUCCACUUUGAUAUUAUUUGCUAGCUUGCUUUCAUAUUUAAUCUUUUCCCUUCUAAUGAUUUUUUUAGUUGCUCUCUGUAGGCUUAAAAAAAUUCUCAAUUCUCUAUCUUCCCACUAAUUUUUGCUUUGUUGUAUGCCCUUUCUUUUGCUUUUACAAUAGCUUUGACUUCCCUUGUUAGCCAUGGUUGUACUGUGUUACCAUCUGACUACCUCUUCAUUUUUGGAAUACGCAUGUCCUGCAUCUUCCUCAUUUUUCCCAGAAAUGCAUGCCAUUGCUGCUCAGCUGACAUUCCUGCCUGCAGCUCCUUCCAAUUUACUUUGGCCAGCUCCUCUCUCAUACCACUGUAAUUUCCCUUACUCCACUGAAAUACUGCUACAUCAGACUUCACUUUCUCCCUAUCAAAUUUCAAGUUGAACUCAAUCAUAUUGUGAUCACUGGCUCCUUUUACCUUAAGCUCCCUAAUCGCCUCUCGUUUAUUACAUAAUACCCAGUCCAGUAUAGCUGAUUCCCUAGUAGUCUCAACAUCAAACUGCUCUGAAAAGCCAUCUCUUAGGCAUUCAACAAACUCACUCUCUUGAGAUGCAUUACCAACCAGAUUUUCCCAAUUGACCUGCAUGUUAAAAUCUCCCUUGACUACCAUAACAUUGCCCUUUUGACUCGCCUUUUCUACUUCCUGUUGUAAUCUUUGGUCCAUCUCCCAGCCACUGUUGGGAGGCCUGUAUAUAACUUCCAUCGACAUCCUUUUACACUUGCAGUUUCUUAAUUCAAACCACAAGGAUUCAACAUCUUCCGAUUCUAUGUCACAUCUUUCUACUGAUUUGAUUCUAUUCUUUACCAGUAGAAUCACGCCUCUCGCUCUGCCUAGCUUCCUACCCCUUAGGCAUUCAGCUCCCAACUACAACCACCCUUCAGCCAUGAUUCAGUGAUGGCCACAACAUCACACCUGGCAAUCUGUAAUAGUGCAACAAGAUCAACCACCUUAUUUUUUACACUACGCACAUUUAGAUACAACACCCUGUGUACCGUAUUUGCUCUCCUUUCUGAUUCUACAUCCCUAAUGUUUUGAUACUCAGCCUGUUGGCUUCAACUAAGUCCCAUCACCUGUCUGCCCUUCCUGACAAUCUGACUGCACGCUAGCUUUACUUUUACCAUCUGUCCUUUCCUGAACUCCUUCAUUUCCACCCCCUGCCAAAUUAGUUUAAACCCUCCCCAACAGCUGCCGCAAGAAUAUUGGUCCCCCUGGGUUCAAGUGCAACCCGUCACUUUUGAACAGGUCAUACCUCCCCCAGAAGAGAUCCCUAAAAUGAUCCAAUAAGCCCUGCCCCCUGCACCAGCUCCUCAGCCACACAUUUAUCUGCCAAAUCAUCCUGUUUCUACCCUCACUGGUACAUGACACAGGCAGCAAUCCAGAAAUUACUACCUGGGAGGCCCUGCUUCUCAGCUUUCUACCUAGCUCUCUAAAUUCUCUUUUUAGCUUCUCAUUACUUUUCCUUCCAAUGUCAUUGGUACCAAUAUGUACCAAGACAUCCGGCUGCUCCCCCUCCACCUCCAAAAUGUUGUGGAUGCGAUCUGAGACGUUCCAGACCCUGGCACCUGAGAGGCGUCCCGUUCACAUCCACAGAAUCUCCUGUCUGUUCCUCUGGUUAUCGAGUCCCCUAUCACCACUGCUCUCUUCCUCUCUCUCUUUCCCUUCUGCACCAUGAACCCGUGCUCAGUGCCUGUAACCCAGUUCCCAUGGCAUUCUCCCAGGAGGUCAUCCCCCACAAAAGUAUCCAAAGCAGUAUACUUGUUUUUGAGGACCAAUCGACAUGCAGCUGCCAAUCGAUACAAAAUAGUCCCUGUCCUGUAAAUAGGAUUUAAACUAUUUUACAAUUGUACCAGAAAGUCCCACCCAGAUUUCCAGUCUGUUUCUGGUAAUAUGCCAUAAUCAACUGUGUCAAAAGCAGCACUAAGAUCCAGUAAAGCCGGAACUGAAACAUUACCAUCACCAUGGUUUAAGCAGACGUCAUUUACAACCCUGACCGGAGCAGACUCGGUGUUGUUGAAAUCCCGACUGGAAAACAUCCAUACGCCACUUAGAGCCCAAAAGCUGGAACUUUUCAAUGAUUUUACUUAAACAUGAUUUCCUGCUUGGCACUUCCAUUCAAUUGAACAGCCAGAGGACGUGUGGUGUGUAACACAAAAUGAAAUGUGAUAGGCUGAGGAUGUGCAUGGACACACAACCUUGCGAUGAGAUUCCAGUGAAGAAUGAUUUCCUCUUCACAGAGCUGCCUCCCCUCUUUCUAACCACCAACACACCAACUCAGUUGUUGCCAUGCUUCCAGUGCCAACAUAGCUUACUAUCAUUAACCCGUAUGCCUUUGGACUGUGGGAGGAAAGCAGUGCACCCGGAGGAAACCCCCACGGUCACAGGGAGAACGUACACCGGCAAGAAUCAACCUAUCUGUGAUCAGUGUCUCCCAUGGCUGUGGACUCACUUUCGGCUGUGGUUUGAUGUUUAUUGUCCGCAGCACUGAACGAGCUUUACUAUUUGUGUGAUUUGUUUGUGGUGCUUCAAUGCGGAACUUGAUCUGCAGCUGUGGUCUGAAGCCAUUGACACAGCGCUGAACUGACUGAUGGUGGCUGUGGCCCCAGUCAUCGGCUCCUGGGCUGCUUUUACUCGCCUUGGUGGUUCAUGGCUGUGGACUCACUUUUGGGGACUCUGCGGUUUGGUGUUUAAUGUUUUGUGUGUUAUGUGUUUGCUUUUUGCUGUUUGCAUGAUUUGCUCCUUUUUUGCAUGUCUGAUGGUCUUGUUAUGUAGGGGUUUCUUUAUGGAUUCUGUGGUGCUUCUUCAAUUUGUGGCUGCCUGUAAGGAGAUGAAUCUCAAGGAUGUAUACUUUGAUAAUAAAUAUGCUUUGAACUUUGUGGAUUUUAUUACUGCUAAAUUCAAAAAGAACAUAGAACGAAUUUUAAAAUAUUUUCAUUACAAAGGUUGAUUGAAAAUCUGUCACUGGAAUCUCCCAUAAUGUAAAUAGACCAAAAGAUAGAAUACUGCAGCUGUUGGAAAUCUGAAGUAAAGCAGUUCCAUUAAAAUUUCUUCAACCUGUGAUAUCAUCUCCUACCUCAUUCUCCACAGCUGCUGCCUGACCUGCUGAGUAUUUCCAGCAUUUCCUGUUUUAUUUAACAUAGUAUAGCUUUAUGAUUUAAUUGUGUUUUUGAUUGUCAGCAGCUUCGGUCUUGGAGUUGAAACAGCUGGUGAUGUGGACUGAAGCACACGGCAGGUUUG